CACGCCGUAAACGAUGAGUACUAAGUGUCGGAAGAAUCCGGUGCUGCAGUUAACGCAUUAAGUACUCCGCCUGAGUAGUACGUGCGCAAGCAUAAAACUCAAAGGAAUUGGCGGGACCUCGCACAAGCGGUGGAUCAUGUUGUUUAAUUCGACGAUACGCGAAGAACCGGACCAGGCCUUGACAUACCGAGCAAAGCUAUGGAAACAUAGUGGAGGUUAACUGGGAUACAGGUGG
rnacentral:rRNA from 1 species